rnacentral:tRNA from 1 species
GGAAAGAUGGCCGAGUGGUUUAAGGUACGGAUCUGGAACAUCCGAGUAAUAUAAAAUGAUUACCGAGGGUUCAAAUCCCUCUCUUUCCG